CCUACGGGAGGCAGCAGUGAGGAAUAUUGGUCAAUGGGCGGGAGCCUGAACCAGCCAAGUCGCGUGAGGGAAGACGGUCCUAUGGAUUGUAAACCUCUUUAGGCGGGGAGCAAUGCCGGGCACGCGUGCCCGGAGGGAGAGUACCCGCAGAAUAAGCAUCGGCUAACUCCGUGCCAGCAGCCGCGGUAAUACGGAGGAUGCGAGCGUUAUCCGGAUGUAUUGGGUUAAAAGGGUGCGUAGGCGAAUUUUUAAGUCAGCGGUAAAAUGUCCGGGCUCAACCCGGGCCGGCCGUUGAAACUGGGGAUCUUGAGUGGGCGAGAAGUAUGCGGAAUGCGUGGUGUAGCGGUGAAAUGCAUAGAUAUCACGCAGAACUCCGAUUGCGAAGGCAGCAUACCGGCGCCCGACUGACGCUGAGGCACGAAAGCGUGGGGAUCGAACAGGAUUAGAUACCCUGGUAGUC
rnacentral:rRNA from 1 species